GAGUACGAUCAUACCAGCAAUAAUGUAAUGAAUCUCAUCAUAACUCUGCAGUGAAUCAUGCUUCAGCAAGAGUAGUACUAGGAUGGAUGACCCCCUGGGAAGUUCUCGUGUUGCACCCU
rfam:Gossypium arboreum cultivar AKA8401 contig_35669_1, whole genome shotgun sequence.